UACACUUCCACACAAGCGUUGACUGAGACGUUGUAACUGAAUUAACGGAUCAAACGGUUGGCACGUAACAAAAAUUGGCGCAGUCGGUAGGAUAUUCAAUAGAAGGCAAUUCCACAUCGGAACCAUCGAGGAGCUGAACAACUUGCAGUCCUUCAACUUCUCAACUUCCAUUGAAUAGCUGAUACUCCACCGGAUCAUUCAGUCAACAACAUGUCUUCAAUCAACAAUUGUUUAUUUGUUGCAAAUCAUCAAACAAAUACAAGAAAUCGCAAAGAAACGGAAGAUGAGGACGACCCUCUCAAUGAAGAUUCAAGUUUGUGUGAUGCACCAAAAUUUAAAUAUUUGUUUGGUGAAUUUUAUAAACUAGUAUCCAUAGAUGGUCUAUAAUUAAUAGCUUUGUGUCAAAGUUGCUCUAAAAUUAUAAAUGGCUCUACAUCAUCAAGUGGAAAUUUGUUGAGCCAUAUUAUAUUGUUUGCAACCUUGCCUGUAACUUCUGCAACUCCAGAAAGAACAUUUUCCACCUUGUCAAGAAUGAAAACAUACCUAAGAUC
rnacentral:misc_RNA from 1 species